AUUAAGUCAGUGGGAACUAAGUGAAUGGAUAUACAGAUUUAAAGAUCAAGCAGUUGACCAUGAGAGUUUUUAUUAUCUUGAAGAUCAAGACAUCAAUGAGUUGAUUCCAAAAGUUGGACAAAGAGUUAAAUUCAAGAAGAGACUCAGGGAGUUAAAGGAAAAUCCUUCUAAUCAGAAACAAAGACCACUGCCAGAUAAAGAUGAUCUGUCCUUG